GGGGCAGUAGCUCAGUUGGCUAGAGCACCACGUUCGCAACGUGGGGGUCGAGAGUUCGAAUCUCUUCUGCUCCACCA
rnacentral:tRNA from 3 species